ensembl:lncRNA
GGAUGCUUUACAGUCAGACGGGGAGACUGAGGACUUGGAGACAAAACACUUUUCUGGAUUUUAAAGGACUUGUUGGUUAAUUACCUCAGACGACAGCACAAGCAUAGAAAAAGAUCGAUAAAUAUGGUGAAUCCUGUGUUCUGGGCUAUGCUGGUCUGCAUGACCGUCCUGCUGAUUGAGCAAGUGUGAAGGAACUGCUGCAGGCUGCCUACUGAUAACCCUGUCAAGCAACCUGGCACUCCCAAUUGUCAGCUCUCCCAGGAGGUCUGCUCAUCUGCUAAUGGAAACCAACUCCAGAGGUGUGUCAAAACACCCAUUAUCUUCAUACAGAAUACACUGGCCCCGAACAGAAACCUUUUAAAAUCACAGCUUUAGUGGAUUCAGAUUGCUACAGGAAAAAAAAAAAAAAGAAAAAAAAAAAAGAGAAAUUUUUUUUUUUUUUUUAUGCAACAGAAAAUGGAAUGAACAUGCAACAUAUUCUUUCUGUAGUGCUGUGUGAUAAAAUGAAAAAACUACAUACAACUACAUAAAACUACAUAAGAACAGAGUAUAAAUGAAUGUGAAAGUCAAUAUGUAUAUCAUCACUGCAGAAUUAACUAAAUGAAAACUAUAAAACACAUUUAAUUAAUGAAAAAUAUUGAAAUGUCUUUGUCAGGCCAUCACCUUGGCUUUCUCAUCACGACUAAUUGCUGCAUAUCUCGGUUCAUUUCCAUUGAGCCAUGUGAAUUAAAAUACAACCUUGUAAUACAUCAGUUGAUCUACGUAGUUUUCAGGUGUCUUGUGAAUCCUGUACACUUCACCCACUCAUACUUUUGAUCUGCCCACCAUGUUCAGGGAAGUUUAAUUCACCCUAGAAAAUAUCCGUGAAAGUAAAAUUCAUAGCACUAAUAAUGUUACUAAAGUGUGACAAGAAUGAAGUGGUCUUUAAUAUCUCUUAACACAAACCUGAGUAUACAUUAUCAGGGCUGCUUUCAAUUACUUAAGGUACCAUUAAUAGUGAUUAAUAAGUGCACGUAAACAAGAGUUUGAGAUGUUUAGUAUAUUCUUUGGUUAUUACAGCAAAUGAUCACUUGAAUAAAAUAAGAUGCUGAUCAGCACUUUGAAUUUUUACCACUCGUGUUUUGUCUCUUCUGUAACUUAUCAUGCUUGCUAUUCAAGGUGCAUCAUGUAGUCCCACCAAGCUAAAGUGGACUUCAUGUUCUCUGCUGUGCCAGUAAGGCUUAGUGCUUCUUUACUUUCAUCUGUCUCUUUUUUACUCACAACUGUUAGAGUCAAAGUGUUAAAUGCUGCC